rnacentral:rRNA from 1 species
GACGAACGCUGGCGGCGUGCUUAACACAUGCAAGUCGAACGGAAAGGCCCCCUUGUGGGGUACUCGAGUGGCGAACGGGUGAGUAACACGUGAGUAACCUACCCUUGACUUUGGGAUAACUUCAGGAAACUGGGGCUAAUACCGGAUAGGAGCUCCUGCUGCAUGGUGGGGGUUGGAAAGUCUCGGCGGUUGGGGAUGGACUCGCGGCUUAUCAGCUUGUUGGUGGGGUAGUGGCUCACCAAGGCUUUGAUGGGUAGCCGGCCUGAGAGGGUGACCGGCCACAUUGGGACUGAGAUACGGCCCAGACGCCUACGGGAGGCAGCAGUGGGGAAUAUUGCACAAUGGGCGGAAGCCUGAUGCAGCAACGCCGCGUGCGGGAUGACGGCCUUCGGGUUGUAAACCGCUUUCGCCUGUGACGAAGCGUGAGUGACGGUAAUGGGUAAAGAAGCACCGGCUAACUACGUG